rnacentral:misc_RNA from 1 species
GAUGAAGAACGUAGCAAAAUGCGAUAAGUAAUGUGAAUUGCAGAAUUCAGUGAAUCAUCGAAUCUUUGAACGCACAUUGCGCCCGCCAGCAUUCUGGCGGGCAUGCCUGUUCGAGCGUCAUUUCAACCCUCGACCUCCCCUUGGGGAGGUCGGCGUUGGGGACCGGCAGCACACCGCCGGCCCUGAAAUGGAGUGGCGGCCCGUCCGCGGCGACCUCUGCGCAGUAAUACAGCUCGCACCGGGACCCCGACGCGGCCACGCCGUAAAACACCCAACUUCUGAACGUUGACCUCGAAUCAGGUAGGACUACCCGCUGAACUUAAGCAUAUCAAUAAGCGGAGGA